AGCCUGCGCUGCAAUGUGAAGUGAUGCAGAAGCACAGACUGGCACCAGGAGCGGGCAGACUGGCUGCUGCGCCUGCGUCCCGCGGCUAUUUCUGGCGUGCAGAGACUGAGCGGUGUCUGCUGGGCCAAACGGCAGCCGAUGAGGAUAACGAGAGUAAUCUGGACAUAGCAGCUGUCUUCCGAGGACCUCAAAACUCUCUGUGGAUAUGCUUCUCUCUGCAAAAUUCCUCUCACUCCAUUUCUAUGAGAACUAUUCCUGCAAACCGGGUCCCUAAGAGGAUUAGCGAAGGGGAUACCAAUUUAUUUAUACCCACCUCAGCAUGGUAGCAGCCAAACACUGUAAGUUGCUGGGUUAUUAAAUGGCCUGUAGCACAUGAAAGAAGCUUCAAUCUUCCGGGGCAGUUCAGAGUGGACAGGUGUGCACCUCACAGCUGCUCUGAACUGACCCCCAGUUUUGGCAAUAUUUUUUUUUUCUUUUUAACCUGUUCACAUUGGUGAUAUGAACAGGAGUGCUCAGGACUAAAUGGACCACAGACGUUUGGUCCCUUUUAAAAUAUAAGAACAAUUUUCAGGCCUCUUUCCGUUGAACUUUUUUAGCUGAUAAAAAAUAAAAGAACAAAAGAGAGAUAUGGGGAGUUAGGG
rnacentral:lncRNA from 1 species